rnacentral:rRNA from 1 species
CCUACGGGAGGCAGCAGUAAGGAAUCUUCCGCACUGGGCGAAAGCCUGACGGAGCAACGCCGCGUGGGCGAUGAAGGCCUUCGGGUCGUAAAGCCCUUUUCUGUGGGACGAUAAUGACGGUACCACAGGAAUAAGCCACGGCUAACUACGUGCCAGCAGCCGCGGUAAUACGUAGGUGGCUAGCGUUAUCCGGAAUCACUGGGCGUAAAGGGCGUCUAGGCGGUCGGGUAAGAGAGACGUAAAAGCUCCUGGCUCAACUGGGAGAGGUCGUUUCAGACUGCCCGGCUUGAGGGUCGGAGAGGGACGUGAAAUUCCCGGUGUAGUGGUGAAAUGCGUAGAGAUCGGGAGGAACACCCGUGGCGUAGGCGGCGUCCUGGCCGACACCUGACGCUGAAGCGCGAAAGCGUGGGGAGCGAACGGGAUUAGAUACCCCUGUAGU